GGUUCUAGAACAGAAGGAGCACAACCGUUAGAAUUAACACAACCUUCAGUAAGCAACUUUUGGUUUCCUUUUUGGACCCUAAACUUUGCAUUUAAGGUGCUACUGUAAAGCCCAGUUUUUGAAAGAAAAUCUUGUACAGUAGUCCCUCCACAAACAAAUGAAUAUUUAACUUUAAACUCCCAACUCCAGUCAACACAUACAAGAUAUAACUCUUGGUACUGUGAUGGUACUGUAAAGCCUUUCAGUUAUGUUAGUAUUUAAUAAACUGAAUUCUAGCAAGGAUUUUUAAGUAUUUGAGCAAUGAAAUAGGAGAGUCCUAAAGGAUAAAACUUCUGGUGAUAGGCACAAAUUUGGCAGUUAAUUCAAGAAAGGGAAUAGCUCAAGCAGUACUGCUGUGUCUAAGGUAAACUGCAAAUCUUGACAGCCACAGAUUAUUUUCCUUUUUGACUCUAUUUGUGAAGAUACUCUCAUGUCAUAAAGUUAUCUUAAUAAUGUUUAUCUCCUUUCAGCCCACUCUGAAUUAUUACACACACACCUGCAGAAAUUGCAGUAAACAUGAACAAGGUGCCUAUCUUUCAGCUUAUCACUAAUCAAAAAAGUGCACUCCGUUCACUGUGGCACCUUUGAGAUCUCUCUCCUGCUGACCGGAGGCCUCACACUGACCCAAAAUGCAGAGUGGCCCUGGCUUGUCCACCACUGAACGCUGGCUGUCUCGUGGUUUGAAGACAAAAGCCUACUUAGGUUAUUGGUUUUCUGAGAGGAAAAGCCUCAUCCUAAGUGAAUAAUUAAGACUACACUAGACAGGUAGAUGGAUAUAAAUAAGCUUCUUUGUCUUUCAAAUCAGAUUAAAACCACAGGGCUGUACUUGCUUCCUGAACUUCCUGCUUUUCAAAGUAUACAAUUAACUUGUGUCUUCUGUGCCCUUCCUAAAGUAAAGAGCACCUUCUGUCUGCAGCUAGAGGAAGAGGGACACCAUUCGGAUUUGCUGAGGCCUGCAGGCAAUACUAAGGCUCCAAGAAUCAGGUCUCCUGUGGUUAGACUCAGGCUCAGCUGGUAGGUUUGCACCACCUGGAGACAUGCAGAGUAGCUUCAGUCUCUAUGGGCCCUUAACAGGUGUCUGAUCUGCUCAGACUGCAGAAGGCUCCUGCCUACCUGGGUUUCUGCCUGUAAAAACUUUCUAUGUUCACUGACUCAGUUUCGGGUGCUGAGCACAGCCAAAUUUGGCAUUUUAAAAAAUAUUUCAGUGUCAUUACCUUGUCCUGCAAACAUAGGAAAAAACAACUAAGGAAAUUAAAUAACCAGCACCUAAGAUCAAAUGUCAUUAGAACACUGCAACUGCCAUCCAGUUCCCUCAUUUUUUGAGUAAAUUCCAGUUUUCCAUCAUAAUGCAGAACAAUGAAAGCACGAUAUUGCUGAAAAUGAUGUCCAUUUCAGCAGAUUUCAUCUGAGUUAAAAUGAAGACGUAUUUACAAGGUUGUGAGCUCAACUGGAAAUAGCAGGCUUAAUGCAACGCACUCCCGGUACCGCAGGUACUUAAACGUUACUUACGGGUUCCAGUGUUCUUUGGAGAUCUUGUAUAAACUACCAAACAUAAUUGGUAGAAUUUUAUCAAUGUUCUCCUCAAUCAGACUAAGAAUAUAUUCAUUAUUCCAAAAGUACAAAGCUCUUUCUGCAACCUGAAAUGCAAAGGUUAGGAGUCAGCAACCAGAAAACAAAUUACUGCAGGUGAUUUUUGAUGGGUUUUUGUUUUGUAAUUUUUUUUUACCUGAAAAUGUGAACUUGACACACACUUGGAAAUUUGCUUAAAUAAAGGCUCUUCUAUUUUUUUGAA